CCUUGACAUCCAGAGAACUUAGCAGAGAUGCUUUGGUGCCUUCGGGAACUCUGAGACAGGUGCUGCAUGGCUGUCGUCAGCUCGUGUUGUGAAAUGUUGGGUUAAGUCCGCAACGAGCGCAACCCUUUAUCCUUUGUUGCCAGCGGUUCGGCCGGGAACUCAAAGGAGACUGCCGGUGAUAAACCGGAGGAAGGUGGGGAUGACGUCAAGUCAUCAUGGCCCUUACGGCCAGGGCUACACACGUGCUACAAUGGCGCAUACAAAGAGAAGCGACCUCGCGAGAGCAAGCGGACCUCAUAAAGUGCGUCGUAGUCCGGAUUGGAGUCUGCAACUCGACUCCAUGAAGUCGGAAUCGCUAGUAAUCGUAGAUCAGAAUGCUACGGUGAAUACGUUCCCGGGCCUUGUACACACCGCCCGUCACACCAUGGGAGUGGGUUGCAAAAGAAGUAGGUAGCUUAACCUUCGGGAGGGCGCUUACCACUUUGUGAUUCAUGACUGGGGUGAAGUCGUAACAAGGUAAGCGUACGUGU
rnacentral:rRNA from 1 species